rnacentral:rRNA from 1 species
GACAGAGGUGCCAAGCGUUAGGCGGAAUCACUGGGCUUAAAGCGUGUGUAGGCGGAUCGUUAAGUGUCUUGUGAAAUCCCACGGCUCACCCGUGGAACUGCUGGGCAUACUGGCGAUCUUGGGCCAACUAGGGGCAACUGGAACAAGCGGUGGAGCGGUGAAAUGCGUAGAUAUCGCUUGGAACGCCGAAGGUGAAAACAGGUUGCUGGGGUUGUGCCGACGCUGAGACACGAAAGCCAGGGGAGCAAACGGG